rnacentral:lncRNA from 1 species
UAAUGCUUUGUUAAACAUUUUUGUGCCUCUACUUAUGAAGGAUAUCGGCCUGUAGUUUUCUUUUUUUAUAUUACCUUUCUUUGGUUUUAGUAUCAAGGUAAUACUAACUUCAUAAAUUAAUUGGGUAGUGUUUUGUCCUGUUUUUUUUUUUUUUUAAGAAAAUACUGUGUAGAAUGCGUGUCCUUUAAAUGUUGGGUGGCAUUCACUGGUGAAAUUAACUGGGCCAGGAGAUUUUUAGGGGUAUUUUAAAUUUAUGAAUUCAAUUUCUUUAAUAGUUGAGCAUCUCCCAAGUUCUCCAUUUCAAGUUGCAUGAGUUAUGUUAGUUUGUACUUUCUGAGAAAUUGGCCUAUUUCAGCUAAGUUGUCAAAUUGAUGUGUAUUAUAUUGUAUUGUAUUGUAUUGAGUUGUAUGUAAUAUUCUCUUAUCUUUUGUUGUUUGCCAGGUCUUUAGUGAUAUCUCAUGCUUUAUUCCUGAUGGGUAAUUUGUAUCUUCUCUUUUUCCUUACUAGGGGUUUGCCAAUUUUAUUGAACUUUUCAUAUAAACAGCUUUUUGUUUCUGUAUUGGGUUUGUUUUCAAUUUCAUUGAUUCUGCUAUUAUCUUUACUAUUUUUAUUAUUGUUAUUUUGAUUUCAUUGUAGCCAGAGAACAGUGUGGGAUUUCAAUCUUGAACAUUUGUUGAGAUUUGUUUUAUGCCUCAAGGUAUGGUCUAUCUUGGUGAGUGCUCCAUGGAUGCUUGAAAAGAACGUGUAUCCUGUUGUUGUUGAGUGGAAAUUUCUGUAAGUUUUGAUUAGAUGCUUUUGAGGUAGGACUGUGUUAAAUUCUAUUCCUUGCUGAUUUUCUGUCUAGUUGUUUUAUCUGUUGUUGAGAGAUGGGUUUUGAAGUCUCCAAUUAUUAUUAAGAAUUUGUUGUUUGUUUGUUUUUUAGUUCUAUUCAUUUUUGUCUUACAUAUCUUGCAGCUCUGUUGUUUGAUGUAGACACAUUUAGGAUUACUAAGUUUUCUUGGUGGAUUUACCCUUGUAUCAUUAUGUAAUGUCUUUCUCUGUCUUUAGUAGUUUUCCUUGCUCUAAAGUUUACUUAAUCUGAUUAAUACAGUCACUCAUGUUUUCUUUUGAUUAAUAUUUGCAUGGUGUAUCUUUUUCUAGCCUUUUAAUAUCAGCCUCUCUAUGUCACUAUAAUUGAAGUGAAUUACUUGUAGACCAUAUAUAGUUGACUUAUUCAUUCUUUUAUUCCCUCUGUCAGUCUCUGUCUUUUAAUCAUUGAAUUUAGAAUAUAUACAUUUAGUGUAAUUAUUGACAUAUUAGGGUUUAAAUCUGCCAUUUUAAUUUUUGUUUUUUGUUUGUUCUCUCUGUUUUUCAUUUCUCUAUUUUCAUGUUCUUUUUUCCUUAUGGGUUGCUUGAACCUUUUUUUAGAACUCCAGUUUGAUUAACCUAUAGUGAUUUUGAGUGUAUGCUUCUAGAUAGAUAUUUUGGUGGUUUCUCUAUGUAUUAUAUUAUAUAUACCUAACUUAUCACUGCCUACUAUUGCCCAAAUUUUGCUAGCUUGAGUAAAGUGUAGAUAACUUCUCCUUUUAGUUCCUUUUACCUUCCAAAGUUUAUAGUAUAACUGUUUUACCUAUUUAGUCAACACACAUUUAGAGUCAUAUAAGACAGUGUUAACAUUUUUGCUUCAACUAUCAAACAUAAUGUAAAGUGUGCAAAAGGAGAAGGAAAAUGUAUUCUUCAUCCAUGUUUUGAUUCUUUCCUUUGUUCUUUCUUCUUACCUAAUAUUCUAAAAGUCUUGCUUCCAUUCUGUUUAGAGGACUUCCCUUAGCCAUUCCCUUAAGGUGGGAUAAUUGAUGACAAAAAUCUCUUUGCUUCAUCUGAGAGUGUCUUGAAUUCCCCUUCAUUCUUGAAGGAUAUUUUCUCUGGACGUAGAAUUCUGUUUUUUAUUUUUGCUUUUUUUUUUUUUUUCCUUUUAGCUACUUCCUUUGUAGUGUCUGUUGAGAAAAUCUACUGUCGUUUGAAUUAUUUUUCCUUUUUAGGUAAGGUAUAAUUACUCUCUUGCUGCUUUCAAGAGUUUUUUUUUUUUUUUUUGGUCUUCAGUUUUCAGAAAUUUUACUAUAUGUUUUACAGUAGAUUAUUUGGGUUUAUACUCUUUGGGUUUCUCUAAGCUUCUUUUUUUUUUGUUUUGUUUUUUUGAAAUGGAGUUUCGCUCUUUUUGCCCAGGCUGGGGUGCAAUGGCAUGAUCUUAGCUCAUUGCAACUUCCACCUCAUGGGUUCAAGCAAUUCUCCUGUCUCAGCCUCCUGAGUAGUUGCAAUUACAGGUGCAUGCCAC